AGUGGCGGACGGGUGAGUAACGCGUAAGAAUCUAACUUCAGGACGGGGACAACAGUGGGAAACGACUGCUAAUACCCGAUGUGCCGCGAGGUGAAACCUAAUUGGCCUGAAGAAGAGCUUGCGUCUGAUUAGCUAGUUGGUGGGGUAAGAGCCUACCAAGGCGACGAUCAGUAGCUGGUCUGAGAGGAUGAGCAGCCACACUGGGACUGAGACACGGCCCAGACUCCUACGGGAGGCAGCAGUGGGGAAUUUUCCGCAAUGGGCGAAAGCCUGACGGAGCAACGCCGCGUGAGGGAGGAAGGUCUUUGGAUUGUAAACCUCUUUUCUCAAGGAAGAAGUUCUGACGGUACUUGAGGAAUCAGCCUCGGCUAACUCCGUGCCAGCAGCCGCGGUAAUACGGGGGAGGCAAGCGUUAUCCGGAAUUAUUGGGCGUAAAGCGUCCGCAGGUGGUCAGCCAAGUCUGCCGUCAAAUCAGGUUGCUUAACGACCUAAAGGCGGUGGAAACUGGCAGACUAGAGAGCAGUAGGGGUAGCAGGAAUUCCCAGUGUAGCGGUGAAAUGCGUAGAGAUUGGGAAGAACAUCGGUGGCGAAAGCGUGCUACUGGGCUGUAACUGACACUCAGGGACGAAAGCUAGGGGAGCGAAAGGGAUUAGAUACCCCUGUAGUCCUAGCCGUAAACGAUGGAUACUAGGCGUGGCUU
rnacentral:rRNA from 1 species